UGAGAACUCAGUGCUGGUUUGUAAAU
rnacentral:piRNA from 1 species